UCACGACGACCGCGCUCGACAACUUACGGCAGCGUGGCCACGGCGCCGCGUUCAGCUCGCUGGCGGCUCUCGCUUUACGGUCAUUUGGUAAAAACGCCGACCGGGGUGCUGGUUUUACGACGCCGGCUGUCGCUUGGCGGCAGUGUGACUCCCCUCCCUCCGGGAUUGACAGGUGUCGAGGGAGAGGCCGCUGACUAAGCCGGGCCGGUCGGAGGCGGCGGCUGCGCGAGGCCCGAGGCCGCCGCCGCCGGCAGCAGCAGCGAGCGCCUGGCCCAUGGGGAACGUGGCGAGCCACAGCAGCGAGGAGGAGGAGGAGGGGGCUGAGGAGGCGAUGGAAGGGACGGCGGCAGCUGAGCAGCCCGGGGCUGCCUCUCCGCCUGGGCCGGGCCCGCUCCCUCCGCUGCCCCCGGCCACGGUGCUGCUGGAGCAGGCCCGGCUGCGGGAGGCCGCGGCCCGGCUGCGGGAGGCCGCCCCGCCCGAGUCGCUGGUGUCCCGGCACCACAGCACCCUGGUGCGCUGGCUGGAGGAGCGGCUGGGCCGCGGCGAGGAGGCCGUCAGCCUGGAGCAGUUCUGCGAGGUGCUGGAGAGCCGCGCCUCGGGGCCGGCGGCCGUGAGCCGCAGCGAGAGCGAGGAGGCCUUUGCACAGUUUGAUGCUGAGGGAGAUGGAACUGUGGAUGUGGAGAACAUGCUGGAGGCCCUCAAGAAUUCCAGUGGAGCCAAUCUUCAAGGGGACCUUAGUCAUAUAAUCAGACAGCUGCAGGCUUGCUCUCUUGUUCCAGGUUUUAUUGACAUAUUUUCUGAAUCGAAAGAGCACCUUGGUCUUCAUGCAUCAAUGAUACUGAGAUUCUUGCAUCGGAACCGCAUUUCCAGUACUGUCAUCCCAUACCCAGUGUUGGAGUACUUCAAUAAUAUUUGUACUAUGCGGUCUUCAGUACUGAAGGAUUCUUUAGAUAGGCUUCUACUAAAAGAAAAGGAAUGCCCUAGUGAUCUGAAUGGUAACCAAGAAAUGGACAAACUCAAAACUGUCACAAAGUGCUAUACUCACAUAGAAACCUCAUCCAACUCUGCUGACAUUGACAAGAUGACUAAUGGAGAAACCUCAUCCUUCUGGCAGUCAGAUGGGAGUGCUCGCUCACAUUGGAUACGUUUAAAGAUGAAACCAGAUAUUGUUCUGAGACAUCUGUCCAUUGCAGUGGCAGCUAAUGACCAGAGUUAUAUGCCGCAGCAGGUUACGGUGGCGGUUGGAAGGAAUGCCAGCAAUCUCCAGGAGGUCCGAGAUGUUCACAUUCCUAGCAAUAUCACUGGCUACGUGACAUUGUUGGAAAACGCUAACAUUAGUCAGAUGUAUGUACAGAUAAACAUCAAGCGUUGCCUUAGUGAUGGAUGUGAUGCUAGAAUCCAUGGGCUCAGGGCUGUUGGCUAUCAAAGAGUUAAGAAACUUGGCAUCUCAGUGUGUGAUGCUUCAGCUAUCUGGUACUGGUCUUUGCUGACCUCAUUGGUAACAGCUUCCAUGGACACCAAUCCAGCAUUUGUUCACACUAUCCUACAAAAUACUCAGAAGGCAUUGCAACACAUGCCACCACUGUCCCUGAUGUCGGGUUCUACAGACUUCUCAAGCUUCUUAUCUCCCAAUGUUUUGGAGGAAGUAGAUAGUUUUCUCAUAAGAAUAACCAGUUGUUAUGCCACUCCAGAGGUUGAACUUACAUUGUUGGCUUUUGCACUAGCCAGAGGGAGUGUUGCUAAAGUGAUAAGUUCACUUUGUACUAUCACUGAUCAUCUGGACACACUAUACAAGGCUUCUUCACUCAUCUCUUCCAUGGCAACUGUUAGACAAAACCUGCUUUAUAAAUAUGGAAAGCCGCUACAGCUAACCCUUCAGGCAUGUGACGUGAAAGGAAAGGAAGAUAAAUCAGGGCCUGAAAACCUCCUUGUUGAGCCAUGGACAGGGGAUGGUUUUCUUACUGAGACUGGAAAGACCAGAGCAAGUAUCAUUUUUUCUGCGGGAACUGAAUCUACAUUCCAGGUGACACAAAUUAGGAUAAAGGUUCGGAAAGGUGCUAUUGGAGCCCGGUGUGGUUUGGUGUUCGUGUAUAACAGCUCUUCAGAAAAAUUUCAUGCAGAGGAACAUUUUAAAAAAUUUGACAGCUAUGACAAGUGGAAGCUACAAGAAUUCAGGCAAUUUUUAAAAAACAGAAGUGAUUGUUCAUGUGAUGAACUGGGAGAGGAUGAUCCUGUUGGCUGGUUUGAGGUGGAAGAAGAAUGGGAUGAAGUGGAGGUCAAAAUGCAGCAGUGCAGAAUUUCCCAAUAUUUAAUGGUGAAGUUCUUGUGCACAAGGCAAGACACUGCAGAGCGCCUAGGAGUUCAAGGCCUGACUGUUCUGGGAUAUCUUCGGCCUGUGGUUGGGGAGCCCAACAGAAGCAUGAACUGUCUGAAAUGCAUAGCAACAGAUGACAGCAUUUGUGGAACAACCCUUCUCCUGAAGACACUUCAUUUCAUCCAACAACUUGCACAGGACCUGGUUCAACAGAAAGAAAGUGGAUUAAAGUACAGAUCAUUCUUGGACUUCACAGGCCUUGACUUGCAGCUUUUCUGGAAUUUUUACAAUAAACUACACCAAAACCCAAGGGAAGAAUGUCUCUUUGCCCAGACUGUGCUACUGCAGCUUCUUCAGAGCUGCUUCUCUGUGCUUACUGGAAACAAUGAAACUAUUAAAUCUCAGGAAGCUUCUCAAAGCAAAACUUCUGGCCAAACAGAAGCUGCAGUAGAGCUCUACAGGCAUUUGUGUGAAGUAGUGGACAUGAGUGAUAGCAACUUCACACCCAUGACAAUGCUAAAGCAGGAAGUUAAGAACACAUUGCUCAAUGGAGCAGCUAUCUUCUUCCCAGAUAGACAGACCAGACGGGACCAGCUCUUCACCAUGAUGAAAAACAUCACAGAACAGGAACAUAAGCAAUCUGUGCAUCUCACCUUCAGAUCCCUGUGUAUGUACUUCAGUGAUCAGGAUCCAAGUGGACUUUUAUUGUUACCAGAUAAGGAAGUUUCUGAGGACUUUGACAUCAGCCAGGUGCUGUCAGUCAUGGAUACCCUUCUGUUGGUGGCAGCAAGAGAGUGUGAAAUGAUGAUGCUGGAUGUUGCCCAGCAGGAGAGUGGCACAGUGUUGGCAUCCUUAUUCUGGUCUGCACAGGGAAGCCUCCUUUCAUGGUGCUACCUACAACUUAAGGGCAAUGAUAAUACAGCCAAGAGUCUUGCCAUGGAAAUUCUUAAAAAAUAUGUGGGCCAGUUCCUGACAAAUAUCAGAACAAUUUUAGAAUCACUUUUGUCCCAAUACAGUGGCAAACAUAUAAUAGAAAAAUUAAGUAACUCUGUUUUUGCCAUGGCAACCCGUCAGCUGGUGACUUUCUUGUUGGAUUUCUGCACUUUAGACAUGCCACACUGUACCCUACUUCAGGGUUUCAGUACCCUGACACAGCUGCUGAGGAACCUUUGUAGUGAACCUGGAGAGAGUCUUAAUAAGGUGGACAUGGAAAGCUGGCAGCAAGAACAACCCGUGGUGCUGCGAACAUGGACAAUGGAAUCUCCUCACAGCUAUGAAAAUAAUUGCCAUGAGGUCUCAGUCUUCCUUUGUCCUGGGGCAACUUACUUUGAGGUGGAAUUUGAUGAAAAAUGUGAAACAGAAAGGAGAUAUGAUUACCUGGAGUUUACUGAUGCCAGAGGUGCAAAAACUCGUUAUGAUACAAAGGUUGGCACCGAGAAGUGGCCCAAGAAAGUGACCUUUAAGGCUGGCCCACGGCUGCAGUUUCUCUUUCACUCUGACAGCAGUAAUAAUGAGUGGGGCUACAAGUUCUCCAUCACUGCUUAUGGCCUCCCAGAUGUCGCAGUUUCUUGGGGCUUGGAUUUACAGCUGCUUGUAUCCAGGUUGAUGGGGCGCUUGGCUUCACGGUGUAUGGCACUGAAAUCCCAACUGGAGCUAGGUCGUGAAGCAGAGCUGCCUCCUUCAAAAGUGACAUCAGUUCUUAAUUCUCCUUUAUGGAAACCUGUCUUCAGGCAUCAGAUGUGUCCUGAGGUGACUUUGGAAGCAAAUGAACCCGGUCAAGUGCACCAAAAUAAAGAGACUAAGAACUCUCAUGUGGAUGACUGCCAUAACUUUCUUCUCAACUUUGCAAAAUCAGAUCCUUCCCAGGAUUUCUGUGGGCAAAAUUCUGAGCUUUUCAAAGGAUUUAUACAGGCAUGUAAAAAACAGGCCCCAAAGACAGAUAUAGUUGCUGGUUCCACUGUUGAUCAAGCUGUGAACGCCACAUUUGCUGCUUUGGUGUAUCUCACUCCAGAUUUAUAUGGGAAGCUACAGAAAUAUGUCAUCAGUGGAGGCAAGAUGCCUCUGAAUGAAGAGUUUGCUCAAGUAUAUUCUCUGGCUGAUGGGAUUAGAAUAUGGAUGUUAGAAAUGAAGCAGAAGUUCCUGAUGGGUAAAGGAAAUGAUACAGUAGAGAAACAGAAUACAGAAACAAAUGAAGUGAACCCAGAAAUCCUUGCAAAACACUGUAUUCAGAAGAGCUUAUUGUUGUUAAAAUUUUUGCCUGUGAGAGCAAAGGCAAAAGAUCUUGCUUCUGAUAACUGGGAUGCUUCAGAAGUAGAGGAUGUCCAACAGUACCACAAUGAUAAACGUCAAAGGACUAGUUCUAUCGUAGAAGCAGAUUUUCAAGCAGCAAACUCAUUGUCUUCAAAUGGAGUAAUUCACCCUGCUUCUGCAGAAAGGGGUCGAGUGGUAGACUCUGACACAAAGAUGAAGCAAGCACCAGACCCACCCCAGAGGGAAGUAGCCUCUGAAUCUCAAAGUAAGCCCCUUGAAAGGACAGUUUCACAGCAAGAGGACACAGCAUCUCCUCCCUCCACUCCAACUCGCAAAUCUCAGUUCAGCCGUGGAAGACUAAGGCUGCUAUCUUUUAGAUCAAUGGAAGAGCCUAAAUCAGUGCCCACUGUGAAGGAGAAAUAUCCUGUACUGAAAAAUAUAUUAGACUUUAUUAAGGAUCAAUCACUUUCCCAUGAAAGUAUUUUAAAGGUCCUUGCUUUGAGGAAAGCCCAAGCCCAAAGUAUCCUAGAAGUGCUGAAGACAAUCCGCCAGUGUUUAGAAUCUCUUGGGCAGCCGCACUGUUUCCAUCCACCUUGUGUACUCUUUCUCUUGGAACUUCUGGCCUGCCAGAAAGACUUUACAAAUUAUUUUGGACACUUGGAAGGUUGUGGUGCUGAACUGCACAAAGAAAUUCGAGAGUCCUACUAUCAGCUUGUUCUCUUUUUGGUCAAUGCCAUGAAGGGAUUUAACAGCAUUAAUGACAGAUCAUUGCUCCCUGCCUUAUCCUGCGUGCAGACAUCCCUCCUUCACCUCUUGGAUAUGAGCUGGGAACCAAGUGAUCUUUCCUUUUUUGUUGAUAUACAAUUACCACUUCUUCUUAUGACUAUGUCACGAGAAAACAUAAGUAUUCAUGACAGCGUAAUUUGUCAGUGGAGUGAAGAAGAUGAGAUUGCAGACUACAAGCAAAACUCCGAGUGGAUGGAUGAAUGUCAGGAUGUAAUGUUUGAGACCUGGUAUGAAAAGAUAGCCCAAGCUGACCCAGAGAAGCAGAGAAAGAUGCACAUGUUUGUUGCCCGUUACUGUGACCUAUUGAAUGUGGACAUAUCAUGUGAUGGUUGUGAUGAGAUUGCACCCUGGCAUCGCUACCGCUGUUUGCAGUGCAAUGAUAUGGAUCUAUGUAAAACUUGUUUCCUAGGUGGCGUUAAACCUAAAGGUCAUGAGGAUGACCAUGAAAUGGUUAACAUGGAAUAUGCCUGUGAUCAUUGCCAAGGGGUUAUUAUAGGUCGCCGGAUGAACUGCAAUGUGUGUGAUGACUUUGAUCUUUGCUAUGGGUGUUAUUCUGCAAAGAAAUACUCUGACAGUCACCUUCCCACUCACAGCAUCACAAUAUAUCCGAUGGUGACCAUUCGAAUCAGUGACCGACAGAGACUCAUCCAGCCUUAUAUCCACAACUAUUCUUGGCUGCUGUUUGCUGCCUUGACACUCUACUGUGCAGACUUGGCAAGUGGGGAUGAAGUAGGAGAGAAACUUGAUUCGCAGAUUCUCAGUCAUGCUAGAGUUCUGCAGCAUCAAUGUAUACAGCUCAUUGGAGACUGCCUGAUGAAAGCACAGCAUGGAAAAGGUUUGAAAGCUUUAGCUCUCCUCUGCAUGUUGCCAGAAGGGGAAUCUUUCUCAGAGAAUGAGACCACUUCCGUCGGCCCUCCAACAGGUGGCGCUAUAGAGGGCCAUGCUGGUGUUAAAGCAGCAGAGGGAAUGAAUAAAAAGCCAAGGACAGGCUCUUUUGUACAUUUCAAUGGGAAAGGAGAUGUUCGUGAUGAAAUUCAGUCUCCUGUAGAAAAAAAUGGAAGCCAAAGCAAUCUUUCUAAUGCUCCUUUAUCAGAGAAAGAUGUUUUGAGACAGGAUUCAGAGUCACUGGCUCUUAAUUCUGUAGACAAUAACAUAUCUUCACAUCUUCCAGAUGCUGAAAAUUCAGAAGAUUCAUCCCAAAAGCAGGCAGAGAAGGCUCCAAUGCCUAGCCAGGAGCAAGUCUUCGCUGAAUGCUCUCAGAAGAGGAUUCUUGGCUUGCUGGCAGCUAUGUUACCACCUUUCAAAUCUGGAUGCACAAUGUCUUUGAUUAACCUGGAACAGAUCCUCCCACUGAUGUUUCAGGUUGUAAUCGCCAAUGCUGGCCACUUAAAUGAAACCUAUCAUUUAACCCUGGGUCUUCUGGGCCAGUUAAUUCUGAGACUUAUGCCUGCAGAAGUCGAUGCUGCAGUGACAAAGGUCCUUUCAGCCAAACACAGCCUGUUUGCAGCAGGAGAUGGGUCUACAGUGCCAGAAGGCUGGAAGACUACUCAUCUUUUGUUCAGUCUGGGAGCCGUAUGCUUAGACAGCCGUGUAGGUCUGGACUGGGCGUGCUCCAUGGCGGAUAUUCUUCGAGCUUUGAACUCCUCUGCACAGUGGCAUAGUGUGAUUGCAGCUUUCACAGACCAUUGUAUUAAGCAGCUGCCUUUCCAGCUAAAACACACCAAUAUCUUCACCUUAUUGGUACUUGUUGGAUUUCCAGAGGUGCUGUGUAUGGGAACUCGCUCCGUGUACAUGGAUAAUGCCAAUGAGCCUCAUAAUGUAAUCAUCCUAAAGCACUUCACUGAGAAGAACAAAGCGGUUGUUGUAGACAUCAAAACCCGGAAAAGGAAAACAGUAAAAGACUAUCAGUUGGCCCAGAAAUGUGAACAAGAAAGCACUGAAUCCCAAACUCAGCUGAGACAGUAUCUCCAGCAUUUUGCUUUUAUAACCAGCCACCUUUUGCAGACCAGCAUGGACAGUAGCUAUGCAGAGGCAGUGGAAGCAACCUGGGUCUUGUCUCUUGCUCUUAAAGGAUUGUACAGAACACUUAAGACUCAUGGUUUUGAGGAGAUCCAAGCAGCCUUUCUUCAGUCGGGCUUACUUAAGCUGCUGGUGAAGAAGUGCAGCAAAGGAACUGGUUUCAGUAAGACAUGGCUUCUCAGAGACUUGGAGAUUUUGUCAAUAAUGCUGUACUCCUCAAAGAAGGAGAUCAGCUCCCUGGCUGAACGUGAGGAUACAGAACUAGAGGAAAGGGACCGAGAUCAGGACGUGGACCAAUCCAUCAGUCUCAUUGAUCUGGAUCAGAGCAAACUUGAUCCUCUAGAGGGCUUGGAUGAAGCAACCAAAAUAUGUUUCUUGAUGACGCAUGACGCACUCAAUGCACCUUUGCAUAUUCUUCGUGCCAUGUAUGAGCUGCAGAUGAAAAGAACAGAUUCUUUCUUCCUGGAAGUUCAAAAGAGGUUUGAUGGAGAUGUAAUUACAACAGAUGAAAGGAUCCGAACACUGGCCCAGAAAUGGCAACCCAGCAAGCGUUUGAGAUUGGAAGAGCAGAGUUCGAAAGCAGUGGAUACAGACAUGAUCAUCUUACCAUGUUUGGCUUGUGCUUGUCUCUUGCAGUCAAAACCUGUACUUUGUGAUAAAGCCACUGAAGAAUCCAAUCCCGUUACCCAGAAACUGAUAACCAACACGGAGAGUGAUCUCCAGCUUAGCUAUGCCAAACAGCGUCGCACCAAGAGUUCCAUACUCUUGCACAAAGAGCUGGAUUCCAGGAGCAAAAAAGCUGUGCGGGAUUACCUGUAUCGGGUGAACGAGGCUACUGCUGUUCUUUAUGCCAGGCAUGUACUUGCCUCGUUGUUGGCUGAAUGGCCUGAUGAUGUGGCAGUAAAUGAAGAAAUCCUGGAGCUCAGUGGGCCAGCGCACAUGACUUACGUUUUGGACAUGCUUAUGCAGCUAGAGGAGAAGCAGCUAUGGGAGAAGAUCUUGCAAAAAGUGCUGCAUGGAUGCAGUGAGAGCAUGUUAGGAAUAAUGGCACUGACUGCCUGUCAGUUUAUGGAGGAACCUGGAAUGGCAAUCCAAGUGCGGGAAUCCAAACAUCCUUAUAACAACAAUACUAUCUUUGAGGAUAAAGUUCACAUCCCUGGUGCUAUCUAUCUCUCAAUCAAAUUUGACUCUCAGUGUAAUACAGAAGAAGGUUGUGAUGAAUUAAUCAUGUCCAGCAGCAGUGAUUUUCAACAAGAUCGGCACAGUUUCAGUGGGUCUCUGCAGAAGUGGACGGAUUUUGAGCUUCCAGGAGAUACACUGUAUUAUCGGUUUACCUCUGACAUGAGUAAUACUGAAUGGGGUUACAAGUUUACAGUGACAGCAGGGCACCUUGGAAGGUUCCAGACAGGGUUUGAGAUUCUGAAACAAAUGCUAUCGGAGGAAAGGGUGGUUCCACAUCUCCCACUAGCCAAAAUCUGGGAAUGGCAGGUAGGAGUAGCAUGCAGCCAGAUUGGGCACCAGCGUUUAAAGGCCAUACACUUACUCCUGAAGAUAGUGCAAUGCAGCAACCACAGGGACUGUGACCUCACCUUGUUAAAGCCACUCUGGCAGCUUUUCACCCACAUGGAAAAUAACCUGUGCCAUGACAUGACCAAGUCUGGUAUUCUUCUUCUUCCUCUUCAUCGUGCACUUACGGAAUUCUUCUUCGUUACAGAGAGCAGAGUGAAUGAGCUUGGAUCUCUACAGGACUACUUGCUUGCCUUAAAUACCGAAGAGCAUCUUCAUCGUUGCACAGCACAGAUGAUCUGCGUAGUCUUGCAAGAUUGGUGUAGAUCCAGCACUAUCUGUAUCUUCCUUCCUGACACCACUGUUUGGGUCCCCUUGAGCUCCUGCUGAAUGAAAGUACUCGCAGAUGGUGUCCUCCUUUACUGAUAGCCACCCAAGAAUAUUAUUACAGAUAAUGGCAGCCCUGAAAAACAUUGCUGCUAUCAGCCUUGCCAUUAACUAUCCAAACAAAUCAACAAGUCUCUGGAAUGUUUAAUACCGGCUCAUGGCCGGAGCGCAUGGGAUAGAAUAGUUUGUCCAUAGAAACCUUGGAACAAACAUCUUCACUCUGUUCAGGAAAAGUUCCUUCAGCUUCAGCAUAUGGGUGCGCUGCAGCCUGCCUUCCUUCCACUUUGAUGUAGAAUCUGUAAAAGUAAAAGCGCACUUCAAAGAAAAAGCACAUUUUGGAGCAACUCACGCAUCACCUACAGUUACAUACGCACAUAUUGUAGCAUGUUAAAGUAAACAGAAAAGUAUUUUUUUAUUCAGAGUGUGAACGGGAGAAGAUUUCAGAAGUAUGAGAAUGGAGAAGGCUAUCUGUUCCCAGUAAAACCGAGUGACUAUAGCUGGAAGGGAUAGCUUGAAAAGUUUUGCUGAACUUACGCUGGUGGCACCAGCAGCAUCCAUUUUUCACUGGAAGUAAAAUUGGUGAAGAGGAAUCUUGUGGACUGUGUAAGAGUAAAAAUGGCCCACUCUGGAAACCUGCCAUGUUUCACUUUGCUUUGAAAGGCACUACCCAUGGAGAAAAUCCUGCAGCAACUAACUCCUUACUGAACUUUAGGUUUUAAAACAAAUAUAGAGAGAUUCAAAUGGCAGAGCACCCUCCUGAGAGGUGAAAGCCUCUACUGUUCUUUUUGGUUUGAUUGACCGAUCUUACUCUACAUUGUCUUAAAUAUAUACAAUGCAUUGUUCUGGUUUAGUACAGAAACCACAGUGGCUCCCUUGGAGUAGCUUUCGAAGAGGUGGUAUGAGAAGUGGAGGAGCACUGGCUGUGAUGCAUAACUUGUAUGUUUCUCAAAGAUGGCAUCUUUCCAAGAAAUUAUUCAUGGCAUAUUCUUUGCUACUGGUGGCCCAGGAGCUCCUUCUGGUGAACAUUGGGAAACCCUGAUUCCCAGCAUCAAGGGAUGAUUGGGGGGGUUAGUGAUUAACCCAAUUUAUCUCAUAUAGCAAUAACUGCAUUACUCCUGCUGAAUGUGGAAUAAAUAGCAGACCUCUGUGUUGAAAUAAAUUGGCUUUAAUCUUGCCCAGAUUUGCUGGUUAUUCCAUUUCCAAAGAAGACUGCAAAGAACCUAAAGGGAUGUGGGGCUACGUUUUGUGUGUGCUAAUUGCCGGUUUGGUUUUGUUGAAUGUAAAAUCUGUAAAACUUCUAUUGUGCUUAGAUUUUUUUUUUCCCCCAGAAUGAAACGAUGAAGAAAGCAUAACCAGAUGCAUCUGUAGUAGAGACUGGAAAGCUGAUCAAAAUGGCAUAAGGACAAUGACUGUGUUUGAACGGAGUGUUGUGUUCACUGGCUUUAUUUGUCCAAAAAGGCCAGUGGCUAGCACUGUCCUAUGUAUAGGAGCCCUGCAUUUGGGAAUAGUCUAUGGAAUGGUGCUCUUCCAGCCACCUGGGACUGGGAGUAUCUUAAAGGCGGUGCUGUCUCCCUCUGGGAGGGAAAUGUGCUAUGUGCUUUAGUGUCCCCAUUUUUUGGAUGGUCGUGGGUGCUGCAGCCUUGGAAGUAGCUGGUUGGCUCCUAUUCCAUUAGGAGAAUGCGAGGCCAGUGCUGUUGUGGGAGAGAAGUUUAAAUUGGAAAGAGUGCUCUGAAUGAAGGGGUUAAAAACUGAAGACCCUCAUUGGCCCCAGAAGUUGCAAUCACUGUCUUCUGGGGAUGGGAUGGCUCUCUUAGUAAAAGCAAAUCCCAGAGUGUAGGAAGAACUUGUCCUCUGCCCAAGUUUGGAAAAAGGCAGAGAAAUGCAUACUCCUCUGAAAACUUUCCUGGAGUGUAACAUAAUGAAAGUUAGUUCCCUUUUCCUUUCCAGGGUGAGACACUGAGUACUAAACAUGAGAUUUACUUGUAUCAUAACUUUUAACUCAUAGGUAAAGGAAUUUGCGGUCUUAUUCUUUGGUUCCCUUUUAGUGAUGCCUUUAAGUUUAUAAUCUGACUGCAGGAGAGGCCAGGAGCUUCCCUGAUAAACCAAAUGCAUGUCUCCUUCUGACAGUGUGAACUCCUACUGGAGAAUCUGGAGUGGGGGCGGGGUUAUUACACCAAAACUAUGGUCAUCUUCUGAAGUCCACUUUAAUGAAACGGUGUGUAUUUUAUCAAAGGGUCAGAUGAGCAUUUUAAAACUGCUGCUUUGGGACCGUGUGGAUUUCCUACCCACUGUCUUGGAACAAGUCUCUGGCUAAUCAGUAAAUCCCUGGUGAUAGGUUGAUUGUGUCGUAUGUAAGGUAUGUGAUGCGCUGUUGAGAUCUGCCUAAGUUUAUUUACAGAAGGUUUUUUCCUCUUUUUACAUCAGGUUUACAGACUGUAUAGCGAUCCUUCACUGAUCCUAUCAUGGCGUUUCCUCAUUCUCAUUCUUUUUCUGUUGCACUGUAUUUUUACUUUCUAUAUAACAAUAUGCACAAAGGUUGUAGGAAUGACACAGGAGUGGCCAAAGUUUCUAUCUUAGGCAUACCACUUACUACCCUUGCCAGUCAGCCAUCUUGCUCUCAAAGGGCUACAAGUGGCAUUAGCUGCUAAAUAUUCUUUCCACCCACUAGAUGGAAGUGAAGGACUGUCCCCUGGCUUGACACUGAGUCUUUCACUGCCUUAAAACUUGCUCCUUCAUUGUGGGUUUUUAGGGGGCAAGAAAUAUUGAUUUUUUUUCUAUCAUGUAAAAAGGGGAGGAGGCGUAACCAAAUGAAUUGAAUAUUUAUGACCAAUAGCUCUUUGAAUUCCUGCAGCAGUUCCAAAUGGAUGCAGAUGAUUCUAUGGAAUAGUACAAAGCUGGCUGGAAAACAGGUAUGCUGAAGAAAAAAAAUGUGCCUAAUUAAAAACUGAUUGUGUCCUGAAUCACAGAUGAUGUAUUUAAAACAAAUCACAUUGUUCCUAAUGAUAUGUGACUUGUUUUCAUUAAACACUUUAAAAGGUUUUUAAUUUUUUUUUUCUUAUGGGUUUACUACUUUGCAAUUUUUAUCGGUUUUGGUUGUUUGAAAUAGAUCAGACCUUUUAGAUUUAUUCCAGUUCAGCUCAACAUGUAACAAGAAAGUUAUAGAUGUGGGUAAAAUAUGCAAAUGAAGAGAAAUAUAUUGUAAAAAUUCUAUAAAAAGUACAACACUG